AUUGAACGCUGGCGGCAUGCUUUACACAUGCAAGUCGAACGGCAGCGCGGCUUCGGUCCUGCGGCGGAGGGGCAAACGGGUAAGAAAAAACUGGAACCGCCCCAAGACGGGGGGGAUACCUCGCCCAAACCGGGAUAAAUCCGCCAUACACCCGAAGGGUAAAACUGGGGAUCCUUCGCACCUCGCGCUUUUGGAGCGGCCGAUGGCAGAUAAGCUAGUUGGUGGGGUAAAGCCUAACCAGGCCGCCGACCUGAAUCGGUUCUGAGAGGACGACCAGCCACACUGGGACUGAGACACGGCCCAGACUCCUACGGGAGGCAGCAGUGGGGAAUUUUGGACAAUGGGCGAAAGCCUGAUCCAGCAAUGCCGCGUGUGUGAUGAAGGCCUUCGGGUUGUAAAGCACUUUUGGCGGGAACGAAAAGGACUGUGCCAAUACCACGGUUCGAUGACGGUACCCGCAGAAUAAGCACCGGCUAACUACGU
rnacentral:rRNA from 1 species